AUUGAACGCUGGCGGCAGGCCUAACACAUGCAAGUCGAGCGGUAGCACAAGAGAGCUUGCUCUCUGGGUGACGAGCGGCGGACGGGUGAGUAAUGUCUGGGAAACUGCCUGAUGGGAGGGGGAUAACUACUGGAAACGGUAGCUAAUACCGCAUAACGUCUUCGGACCAAAGUGGGGACCUUCGGGCCUCACGCCAUCAGAUGUGCCCAGAUGGGA
rnacentral:rRNA from 1 species